CGAGCGAGCUUGCCUAGAUGAUUUUAGUGCUUGCACUAAAUGAAACUAGAUACAAGCGAGCGGCGGACGGGUGAGUAACACGUGGUUAACCUGCCCAAGAGACUGGGAUAACACCUGGAAACAGAUGCUAAUACCGGAUAACAACACUAGACGCAUGUCUAGAGUUUGAAAGAUGGUUCUGCUAUCACUCUUGGAUGGACCUGCGGUGCAUUAGCUAGUUGGUAAGGUAACGGCUUACCAAGGCAAUGAUGCAUAGCCGAGUUGAGAGACUGAUCGGCCACAUUGGGACUGAGACACGGCCCAAACUCCUACGGGAGGCAGCAGUAGGGAAUCUUCCACAAUGGACGAAAGUCUGAUGGAGCAACGCCGCGUGAGUGAAGAAGGGUUUCGGCUCGUAAAGCUCUGUUGGUAGUGAAGAAAGAUAGAGGUAGUAACUGGCCUUUAUUUGACGGUAAUUACUUAGAAAGUCACGGCUAACUACGUGCCAGCAGCCGCGGUAAUACGUAGGUGGCAAGCGUUGUCCGGAUUUAUUGGGCGUAAAGCGAGUGCAGGCGGUUCAAUAAGUCUGAUGUGAAAGCCUUCGGCUCAACCGGAGAAUUGCAUCAGAAACUGUUGAACUUGAGUGCAGAAGAGGAGAGUGGAACUCCAUGUGUAGCGGUGGAAUGCGUAGAUAUAUGGAAGAACACCAGUGGCGAAGGCGGCUCUCUGGUCUGCAACUGACGCUGAGGCUCGAAAGCAUG
rnacentral:rRNA from 1 species